CUACGUGCCAGCAGCCGCGGUAAUACGGAAGGUCCAGGCGUUAUCCGGAUUUAUUGGGUUUAAAGGGAGUGUAGGCGGUUUGUUAAGCGUGUUGUGAAAUUUAGAUGCUCAACAUUUAACUUGCGGCGCGAACUGGCGAACUUGAGUGCACACAACGUAUGCGGAAUUCAUGGUGUAGCGGUGAAAUGCUUAGAUAUGACGAAGAACUCCGAUUGCGAAGGCAGCAUACGGGAGUGUAACUGACGCUUAAGCUCGAAGGUGCGGGUAUCGAACAGGAUUAGAUACCCUGGUAGUCCGCACAGUAAACGAUGGAUGCCCGCUGUUAGCGCCUGGCGUUAGCGGCUAAGCGAAAGCAUUAAGCAUCCCACCUGGGGAGUACGCCGGCAACGGUGAAACUCAAAGGAAUUGACGGGGGCCCGCACAAGCGGAGGAACAUGUGGUUUAAUUCGAUGAUACGCGAGGAACCUUACCCGGGCUUGAA
rnacentral:rRNA from 1 species